GAGACUUGGAGCACAGCUUUGAGGUAGAGGUUACACAAGGAAGCACUUACUGAGUGCCCGCCUUCUGCCAAGUCCUGUGUCAGAGAAUACAGGGAUCGGGGUGGUGGCACGAAGACAACGCACCAGAGAGCUGCAACACCAGCGAUGCUGUAACAAGUUCGGUGAGGGAGGAGAAGACUUUGUCAGAACAAAAUGUGAUGCGUAUGAGACCAAACCCCACGCGUCAUGAUAUAUAAGACGUUUGAAGUCAUACACAGAUGUACUUGCUAUUUGCAGUACUGUUAUGAGUUGGUGUCCCACAACAGAAGCAUCCCGAUCAAUUCUAUUGCAGUGGCCACCAGGAGGAGGCAAAUACUUUCUCUCUCUUGGAAAGAGGUUUCCUGUCUACAGCUUCAGAAAACACCGUGACUCUGCCCUGUGGCUGGAAUCCAGACUCCAGCUGGGGUUUUAAAAGGAAAAUAAAUGAAAAUAAAUUGUC